rnacentral:lncRNA from 1 species
UAGGAAGCUUUGUAGAUGCAGAUAAUACUUUAUAAGUAUUUUUAGAUGAUUGAUAUAUUAAAAAGUUGGCCAAAAUAUUAGCCACAUGUUAAACAUAUUGGCUCACAUGUUGAAAAGUUUUUCAAAAAGUUAAACAAAUGUUUUACAAAUAAGACAUGUGUAAUAUAGCCUAUAGAAUUUUGCCACAUAUUUCUUUAAUUAGAUACAAUAUAUAGAGGUAAAAAUGACAUCUCACUUAUUCUUAUCAAUAUCUUUCUUGCUUCUAAUCUAGUUUUAAGAGUCUCUAGUCUUCUUGUCUUUGGAAAUAG